rnacentral:rRNA from 1 species
GGAGUUAGCCGGUGCUUCUUCUGCGAGUAACGUCACAGAUGUAAGGUAUUAACUUACACCCUUUCCUCCUCGCUGAAAGUGCUUUACAACCCGAAGGCCUUCUUCACACACGCGGCAUUGGCUGCAUCAGGGUUUCCCCCAUUGUGCAAUAUUCCCCACUGCUGCCUCCCGUAGGAGUCUGGGCCGUGUCUCAGUCCCAGUGUGGCUGAUCAUCCUCUCAGACCAGCUAGGGAUCGUCGCCUAGGUGAGCCUUUACCUCACCUACUAGCUAAUCCCACCUGGGCUUAUCCAUCAGCGCAAGGCCCGAAGGUCCCCUGCUUUCCCCCGUAGGGCGUAUGCGGUAUUAGCAGUCGUUUCCAACUGUUAUCCCCACAAAUGGGCAAAUUCCCAGGCAUUACUCACCCGUCCGCCGCUCGUCAUCUUCAAAAGCAAGCUUUUGAAAUGUUACCGCUCGACUUGCAUGUGUUAGGCCUGCCGCCAGCGUUCAAUCUGAACCAAGAUCAAAUUCUGA